GACGAACGCUGGCGGCGUGCUUAACACAUGCAAGUCGAACGGAAAGGCCCUGCUUUUGCGGGGUGCUCGAGUGGGGAACGGGUGUGUAACACGUGAGUAACCUGUCCUUGACUUUGGGAUAUCUUCAGGGAACAGGGGCUAAUACCGGAGAGGAGAUACUGCUGCAUGGUGGGGGUUGGAAAGUUUCGGCGGUUGGGGAUGGACUCGCGGCUUACCAGCUUGUUGGUGGGGUAGUGGCUUACCAAGUCUUUGACGGGUAGCCGGCCUGAGAGGGUGACCGGGGACAAGGGGACUAAGAGACGGCCCAGACUGCUACGUGAGGCAGCAGGCGGAAACAUUGCACAAUGAGCCGAAGCCUGAUGCAGCAACGCCGCGAGCGGGAUGACCGCCUUCGGGUGAUAAACCGCUGUCGCCGGUGACGAAGCGUGAGUGACGGUAAUGGGUAAAGAAGCACCGGCUAACUACGUG
rnacentral:rRNA from 1 species